ensembl:snoRNA
GCUGGUGUAAAUGAUGACUAAAUUUUUUCCCCAUCAGAGCGACAGUGUUGAUUUCUUGCUGUUCCAAGCCAGAUCAUGUCUGAUGCACCAGU